GCCAUGGGCGUGUCACAGUGGCUAGAAUGCUCACAGAUCCAUGUGGUCACACAGGAACUGGUGAGAUGGGCUGCAUAGGGAGAUCAUAGAAAGAGCUGCAGCCCUGUGCGGGAACAGUUGAGGGCAAAAGAGGUUGGUGUGCAGAGGCUGAGCCAGCGGCCCAGAGGCGAACACGUCCUGAGCGUGGAUCCUCCUGACCUGUGCUACACUGCUGGAGAGAUGCUCCAUUUUGCCCAUGGACAUCAGUACAAAGAUAUGCAGUCAAAUUAAGAGCAUUAUUGCUGCAAUGUGGGAACGAGCUACUGGCAACUGCCAUUGUGAUGCUGUGGGCAUGUCACAGUAGCUAGAAUGCUGACAGACUCAUGUGUCACACAGGUUCUAGUGGCACGGCCUGCCUAGGGAGAGCACAGAAAGAGCUGCAGCCCUGUGCCAGCCCCUGGUAGAGGAGAGCAGGAUGGUGUACAGAGCUGUGUCUUGGAAAGCCAGAGGCCCAGAGGAGAACACGUUCUGACCAUGGAUCCUCCUGACCUAUGCUGGAGAGAU